AGAUACCCCGAGAGUGAAAGGAGAAGGAGCGGUUUAAUGGCUGGUCACAUAUCUGAUGAGGGGCAGCUUCCCAGCAAAUCAAAACCGAAAAAAUCAUAUAUUUUGUGGUCAGUUACCGCUUGGACCUGCGCCAAGCAACUUACACAUUAUCCUUCUUUUAGCACAAAAGGAAUUACAAUAACUGUUAAUUCCUUUGCUAUAAUCAAGACCAAAGAAGAAAGUACUACCUAGGUUACUUAAAAGAUAUGAUGAAGGAUGCUAUUUCCAGUGAUGCUAACUGCUGUCAGUUUGGUUUUUUAGUCUUGGUAUUGUGUUGUCUCUGUAGAUUUUGUUCCCAGGUUUUGAGGAAUAUUUCAGACCACUUGUAUUAUAUAUUUUGUUGUAUGUUGUAUGAAUGAAUAUCACUAGUGCUUCUCAGAUUUUUCUCUUCUUUUUCAUGUUUGUUUUUUUCUCUUUCUCUCCUUCAAUUGGUAUCAGAGCAAGAUUGAUCUUUAAGGGACCAUUUUCUGAGAAAAAACACAGCAAAUA